rnacentral:rRNA from 1 species
CCUACGGGUGGCAGCAGUGGGGGAUAUUGCACAAUGGAGGAAACUCUGAUGCAGCGACGCCGCGUGAGGGAAGACGGUCUUCGGAUUGUAAACCUCUGUCUUUGGGGAAGAAAAUGACGGUACCCAAAGAGGAAGCUCCGGCUAACUACGUGCCAGCAGCCGCGGUAAUACGUAGGGAGCGAGCGUUGUCCGGAAUUACUGGGUGAAAAGGGAGCGUAGGCGGGCGAGAAAGUUGAAUGUUAAAUCUACCGGCUUAACUGGUAGCUGCGUUCAAAACUUCUUGUCUUGAGUGAAGUAGAGGCAGGCGGAAUUCCUAGUGUAGCGGUGAAAUGCAUAGAUAUCACGCAGAACCCCGAUUGCGAAGGCAGCAUACCGGUGCACAACUGACGCUCAGGCACGAAAGCGUGGGUAUCGAACAGGAUUAGAUACCCCUGUAGUC